CCUACGGGAGGCAGCAGUGGGGAAUAUUGGACAAUGGGCGAAAGCCUGAUCCAGCCAUGCCGCGUGUGUGAAGAAGGCCUUCGGGUUGUAAAGCACUUUCAGUGGGGAAGAAAGCCUUGGGGCUAAUACCCUCGAGGAAGGACAUCACCCACAGAAGAAGCACCGGCUAACUCCGUGCCAGCAGCCGCGGUAAUACGGAGGGUGCGAGCGUUAAUCGGAAUUACUGGGCGUAAAGCGCGCGUAGGCGGUCUGAUAAGCCGGUUGUGAAAGCCCCGGGCUCAACCUGGGAACGGCAUCCGGAACGGUCAGGCUAGAGUGCAGGAGAGGAAGGUAGAAUUCCCGGUGUAGCGGUGAAAUGCGUAGAGAUCGGGAGGAAUACCAGUGGCGAAGGCGGCCUUCUGGACUGACACUGACGCUGAGGUGCGAAAGCGUGGGUAGCAAACAGGAUUAGAUACCCCGGUAGUC
rnacentral:rRNA from 1 species